AAACCGAAGACAAUAAUGAGUCAUCACAGUCAAGAGAAGCAUAGCUUUCAGCAGGAGGGAUUAGGGGAAGACGGAAAGAUUAGAGGCGGCAUGGCAGCAACGCUUUCGCCAUCAAAUCAUUUGAACCCAACAGCUCACAGCAAUCCCAUCAAAGAAAGUUAUGGAAAUCUUAACCCAAAAUUCCAGAUUGGGUUCAGAGCUAGUAGUCACCUCCCACCCUCUAGAAAAGUGAGGCCAAUUACUUGUUUUGCGUUAAACCCUUCAAAAGCCCCGAACCAACUAAUCGAAAAGGACACCAAGCCACCCUUAGUCGUGGUUGGAUCAGCCAAUGCAGAUAUAUAUGUGGAGAUUGAUAGGAUGCCACGAGAGGGGGAGACAAUUUCAGCCAAGACUGGCCAAACUCUAGCUGGCGGUAAAGGGGCUAAUCAGGCGGUUUGUGGUGGGAAAUUGGCAUAUCCAACUUAUUUUGUUGGCCAAGUGGGUGAAGAUGCUCAUGGGAAAUUGAUUAGCGAGGCACUUGAGGGUGGUGGAGUGCAUAUUGACUAUUUGAGUAUAGUUUCAGAUGCUCCUACUGGUCAUGCUGUGGUAAUGCUGCAAUCUGAUGGGCAGAAUUCAAUUAUCAUUGUUGGUGGUGCAAAUAUGUCUUGCUGGCCUAAUAUUCUCUCUGAUAAGAGCUUGGAGGUAGUGAAGAAUGCUGGGAUUCUUUUGCUUCAGAGAGAAAUUCCUGAUUCUGUUAACAUUCAAGUUGCAAAGGCUGCCCAAACUGCAGGUGUUCCAGUCAUUUUAGAUGCUGGAGGAGUUGAGUCACCAAUCCCUCCUGAGCUAGUGGCUGUAGUUGAUAUUCUGAGCCCAAAUGAAACUGAACUUGCCCGCUUGACAAAUAUGCCAACAGAAGAUUUUGAACAAAUCAAACAAGCCGUGGGAAAAUGCCAUAAUGUGGGUGUAAAGCAAGUCCUUGUGAAACUUGGGGCUAAAGGCUCAGCUCUUUUCACUGAAGGAGAAGAACCAAUUAGGCAGCCUAUUAUAUCAGCUCCAAAAGUUAUUGAUACUACAGGGGCUGGUGAUACCUUUACAGCUGCAUUUGCCGUGGCUCUUGCAGAGGGAAAAUCCCAGAAAGAGUGCUUAAAAUUUGCUGCUGCAGCAGCUUCACUUUGUGUUCAAGUGAAGGGAGCCAUUCCAAGUAUGCCUGAAAGAAAAUCUGUUUUGCACCUGCUUCACUCAAAUUGAGGAUGUUUCUCAUCUUGAUUGUUUAUAACAAUUGAAUAAUAUAUAGUUGAAGUUUACUCUUCACGUCUCAUUUUCGGAAGCUGUUUAUGGCGAAUUAAGAUUUCACUGGAGCAUUUUGCAUAAUUAGAAAAUUUCAUCAAGUACAUCUGGGAUUCUAUCUCAUCAGUUCAUCCCUCCUCGUGGACGACAAGGAGUUUAUGGAAUCCUCAACUCUAUCCGUACAUGUAUCUCUGAAUAAUCGGGAUUCAAGAACUGGCUCUGAACUUGCCUGGUCUGCUUUCACUGCUUAUUUAAAUGGAAACAGAAAUCUAACAAAUUCAUCUUACAUUCUCGAAAUAUUUAAUGUUUUUCGUGAGGAUAUUUUGACAAAUGUCUUGGCUUUUGAUACUUUUUUAAACUUAGCUAGUAAAUAAUUGCCAUUUCUCAAAUCUGAAUGAAAUGGAAGAAAGCU